rnacentral:lncRNA from 1 species
CCUGGGACCACGCCAUGGAAAUGCGUCCGGUCCCAGUGUGACGGGGAAGAGCCGCGCCUGAAGCUCAACUUCCGAGGCUCUGGUCAAUCUACGCUUCCUUUAGAGCGUGCAGCCACCAGGUGGCAGCCGAGGCCACGGGCAGACAGAAAAGCUCCCGAAACUGAAGGACUGCCAGGCAGCAGAGUUCCGGAGGGCUCCCAGGACCUUCAACCAGAAAGAGACAGUGAGCAUAUGCGCAUGUCCCUGCAAGGAAUGUACUAUAGAGCCAAUUUUACCGGCAAAGGAAUGGAAGAUCUGAAAGGCUAGGCGAUCCCACAAGCAGCGAGGAGCAGGCUGGAAUUUGAACCAAUCGGCAUGAUUCCCAAGCUCAAGUUUUGGCCACCCCUGCACUGCCAGGGACAAAAAAAAAAAAAAAAAAAAAAAGAAACCUGGGAGGAGAGCCAAGCUAGGGAGUCAAGACCCUCCAGCCAGGUCUGGAUGGGAGGCAGGUGCCUCCACCCUAGUCCCAGAGCAAGUUCUGCUGGCUUCAGCCACCUGACUUCCCUGUGAAGUUGGGCAGAGGCCAGAGCAGACUGUGUGUGAUUCUGGCCCCAGCCCCAGCACCUCUACCCCCACCUUUACUACCCCUAGGCUGCGGGAAGAGGCUUUGCCCAGCAAUAGUCCUGAUCUAAUGGAUCCUGUGAAGCACAAUAAACAGAUAGUAUUUCUGCAUAUGUCACUCUGAGUAUGACGGCAGUAAUCUUGAAACUCCCCUUGACCACCUGGCACUCUGGAGACGGAACUCCACAGCCUGUUUUCAAAGCCAACUCCUGGCUGGAAGUUCCUCUUCAAGUCUAAAUGAAGUAAGCAGUGCUGCAGUCUUCCCUCAACUGUGCAG